UCCCUGAUGGUCUAGUGGUUAGGAUUCUGCGCUUUCACUGCCGUGGCCCGGGUUCGAUUCUCGGUCAGGGAA
rnacentral:tRNA from 1 species